rnacentral:tRNA from 1 species
GGCCUGGUGGUCUAGUAGUAUGAUUCCUUCUUAGGGUUAUGCAUCCACAUGGAGGAGGUCCCGGGUUCAAUUCCCGGCCAGGCCC